UUUUACAUAUAUUUUUGAUACACUGAAGUACUUACCUAAAGGUAUAUUUUCAUAUUUUAUAUGCAAAAAAAACUAAAAAAAAAAAACAAAGAAACACAAAGAAUACGACAACAAGUAAGCGUUGUACAUUUAAAUAAAAAAACGUUACAGACAUCUGAAAACAAAGAUUUCAAAUUCGCUAAGAAUUGGUUUCGAAUUAUCAACGGACUCUAACUGAUCUGUAAUAUCUAUUAGAAAUUGGUUGAGUUGCAAUUGGUUGUGCUCGUGUGUGUGUGUGUGUGUGUGUGUCCGCUGUGACUGUGUGAACCGGAAUAUAUAGCUAGUUUAAAGAUAUUUAUAUAUAUAUAAUAUAUAUACUACAUACAUAAGUAUAUAUGAAUGUGUUUGCAUAUGGACUACGUACUACUUGAAAUGGUUACAGCUUCUUACGAGGGGGGAGGAGUGGACGUAUGUGGGGGCAAGAAUCUUUACAAUGGAACGUGGGAGAAAGUACCCCAACGACACGGAAACUUACACACAUCUAUGUAAUUUGUUAAUAAUUAAAUGUUUUUGCAAUUAAA